rnacentral:rRNA from 1 species
AUUGAACGCUGGCGGCAUGCCUUACACAUGCAAGUCGAACGGCAGCACGGGUGCUUGCACCUGGUGGCGAGUGACGAACGGGUGAGUAAUAUAUCGGAACAUACCCUAGAGUGGGGGAUAACGUAGCGAAAGUUACGCUAAUACCGCAUACGAACUAAGGUUGAAAGUGGGGGAUCGCAAGACCUCAUGCUCAUGGAGUGGCCGAUAUCUGAUUAGCUAGUUGGUGAGGUAAAGGCUCACCAAGGCGACGAUCAGUAGCUGGUUUGAGAGAACGACCAGCCACACUGGAACUGAGACACGGUCCAGACUCCUACGGGAGGCAGCAGUGGGGAAUUUUGGACAAUGGGGGCAACCCUGAUCCAGCAAUGCCGCGUGAGUGAAGAAGGCCCUCGGGUUGUAAAGCUCUUUCGUCAGGGAAGAAACGGUCUACUCUAAUACAGUGGGCUAAUGACGGUACCUGAAGAAUAAGCACCGGCUAACUACGUGCCAGCCGCCGCAGUAA